UACGUAGGGGGCAAGCGUUGUCCGGAUUUAUUGGGCGUAAAGAGCGUGUAGGCGGCUAGGUAGGUCCGUUGUGAAAACUCGAGGCUCAACCUCGAAAUGUCGGCGGAAACCGUCUGGCUAGAGUCCGGAAGAGGAGAGUGGAAUUCCUGGUGUAGCGGUGAAAUGCGCAGAUAUCAGGAAGAACACCUAUGGCGAAGGCAGCUCUCUGGGACGGUACUGACGCUGAGACGCGAAAGCGUGGGGAGCGAACAGG
rnacentral:rRNA from 1 species